GCGAGAUGGGUGGAGGGGUGCGGGGGAAUACAGAGGGGGCGGGCGUGAAGCGGAAUGAGUGGGUGUAAAGCGCGCGUAGGUGGUGUGUUAAGUCGGAUGUGAAAGCCCAGGGGUCAACCUUGGAAUUGCACCCGAGACUGGCAAGCUAGAGUACGGUAGAGGGGUGUGGAAUUUCCUGUGUAGCGGUGAAAUGCGUAGAUAUAGGAAGGAACAUCAGUGGCGAAGGCGACACCCUGGACCGAUACUGACACUGAGGUGCGAAAGCGUGGGGAGCAAACAGGAUUAGAUACCCCUGUAGUC
rnacentral:rRNA from 1 species